rnacentral:rRNA from 1 species
GACGAACGCUGGCGGCGUGCCUAAUACAUGCAAGUAGAACGCUGAAGGAGGAGCUUGCUUCUCUGGAUGAGUUGCGAACGGGUGAGUAACGCGUAGGUAACCUGCCUGGUAGCGGGGGAUAACUAUUGGAAACGAUAGCUAAUACCGCAUAAGAGUAGAUGUUGCAUGACAUUUGCUUAAAAGGUGCAAUUGCAUCACUACCAGAUGGACCUGCGUUGUAUUAGCUAGUUGGUGGGGUAACGGCUCACCAAGGCGACGAUACAUAGCCGACCUGAGAGGGUGAUCGGCCAAACUGGGACUGAGAAACGGCCCAGAAUCCUACGGGAGGCAGCAGUAGGGAAUCUUCGGAAAUGGACGGAAGUCUGAACGAGCAACGCCGCGUGAGUGAAGAAGGUUUUCGGAUCGUAAAGCUCUGUUGUAAGAGAAGAACGAGUGUGAGAGUGGAAAGUUCACACUGUGACGGUAUCUUACCAGAAAGGGACGGCUAACUACGUG